UAUCACAAUUGGAUCGGAUAUCACGUCAAACCAAGGCAAAUCAAACGUUCUCUCAUUUCCGGCGUCUCUCGAUUUUGCGAAAUAUCCAUUUCUCGAUCUUUAUUAUUAAAUAGGAGAAAGUUCUCGAGCAAA
ensembl:ncRNA F18E2.7 ncRNA